ensembl:snRNA U2 U2 spliceosomal RNA
AUCGCUUCUCGGCCUUUUGGCUAAGAUCAAGUGUAGUAUCUGUUCUUAUCAGUUUAAUAGCUGAUAUGCCCUCUACCAAGGACAAUAUAUUAAAUGGAUUUGGGGAGUCUGGAGUUGGAAUAGCUUACUCUGUCCACUCCUUGCAUUGACCUGGUAUUGCCGUACCUCCAGGAACAAUGCACCUUAC